AAAUACUCCUGACUGACCGAUAGUGAACCAGUACCGUGAGGGAAAGGCGAAAAGAACCCCGGCGAGGGGAGUGAAAAAGAACCUGAAACCGUGUACGUACAAGCAGUGGGAGCACGCUUAGGCGUGUGACUGCGUACCUUUUGUAUAAUGGGUCAGCGACUUAUAUUCUGUAGCAAGGUUAACCGAAUAGGGGAGCCGAAGGGAAACCGAGUCUUAACUGGGCGUUAAGUUGCAGGGUAUAGACCCG
rnacentral:rRNA from 1 species